GGGCAUUAUACGUCCGGUGCACAGUUCGUAUAAUAAUCCGAUGUUGGGGAUUCUGAAACAUAAUGAACAAUGGCGUUUAUGCGCUGACUUACGACAGCUAAAUAAACACGUCUAUAUGUCUGGUUGGCCAGUGCCAUAUAUAGACCAAUGUUUGGUACAAAUGCAGGGAUCCAAAAUAUUCACUGCCAUUGACUGUGCGCAGGGAUAAUGGACUGUACCAGUCCAUGAUGAAGACCAAUACAAAUUGGCCUUCACAUUUGGAAAGCAGCAGUAUACCUGGAC